CAGUAGCCGCGGUAAUACGAGGGGGGCAAGCGUUGUUCGGAAUUAUUGGGCGUAAAGGGCGCGUAGGCGGUUUGGCAAGUUUGGUGUGAAAUCUUCGGGCUCAACUCGAAGUCUGCAUCGAAAACUGCCGGGCUUGGGUGUGGGAGAGGUGAGUGGAAUUUCCGGUGUAGCGGUGAAAUGCGUUAAGAUCGGAAAGAACACCAACGGCGAAAGCACUCUGCCGGGCUGACACUGACACCGAGAGACGAAAGCUAGGGGAGCAAAUGGGAUUAGAUACCCCAGUAGUCCCUGUCUCUUAUAC
rnacentral:rRNA from 1 species